rnacentral:rRNA from 1 species
AACGAACGCUGGCGGCAGGCUUAACACAUGCAAGUCGAACGCCCCGCAAGGGGAGUGGCAGACGGGUGAGUAACGCGUGGGAACAUACCCUUUUCUACGGAAUAGCUCUGGGAAACUGGAAUUAAUACCGUAUACGCCCUACGGGGGAAAGAUUUAUCGGGGAAGGAUUGGCCCGCGUUGGAUUAGCUCGUUGGUGGGGUAAAGGCCUACCAAGGCGACGAUCCAUAGCUGGUCUGAGAGGAUGAUCAGCCACAUUGGGACUGAGACACGGCCCAAACUCCUACGGGAGGCAGCAGUGGGGAAUAUUGGACAAUGGGCGCAAGCCUGAUCCAGCCAUGCCGCGUGAGUGAUGAAGGCCUUAGGGUUGUAAAGCUCUUUAAACGAUGAAGAUAAUGACGGUAGUCGGAGAAGAAGCCCCGGCUAACUUCGUG